UACGUAGGCAGCGAGCGUUGUUCGGAGUUACUGGGCGUAAAGGGUGUGUAGGCGGCCUUCUAAGUUUGGUGUGAAAUCUCCCGGCUCAACUGGGAGGGUGCGCCGAAAACUGGGAGGCUAGAGUGCGGGAUGGGAGAGUGGAAUUCCUGGUGUAGCGGUGAAAUGCGUAGAUAUCAGGAGGAACACCGGUGGUGUAAACGGCUUUCUGGACCAUAACUGACGCUGAGGCACGAAAGCGUGGGUAGCAAACAGG
rnacentral:rRNA from 1 species